UACGGAGGGUGCAAGCGUUAUCCGGAUUCACUGGGUUUAAAGGGUGCGUAGGUGGGCAGGUAAGUCAGUGGUGAAAUCUCUGGGCUUAACCCAGAAACUGCCGUUGAUACUAUCUGUCUUGAAUAUAGUGGAGGUGAGCGGAAUAUGUCAUGUAGCGGUGAAAUGCUUAAAUAUGACAUAGAACACCCAUUGCGAAGGCAGCUCGCUACACUAUUAUUGACACUGAGGCACGAAAGCGUGGGGGAUCAAACAGG
rnacentral:rRNA from 1 species